rnacentral:lncRNA from 1 species
UUUUCCUCUCUAGCACUUAAUUAAUUUUCACAUAAUAGUUUCCACACCGGAAACUAUUGUGUAACUUUUUCACCGGAUCUAACCUUACGUUAGAAUCUAGUUUUUUAUUCCUUCGUUUUAAUUUGUUGGUUAAUUGAAGAAUUCAAGAACAAAUCCUACCGGCUUGUGGUGGAGGGUUCAAGACUACUGUUUAAAUUAUUCAGGUUC